GAUUGAGCUCGGAAAGGUUCGUCAAAGGGUCGUCCGACUGUGUAAGCGGAUCGUCGAUCAAAGUGAAACUUUUGCUCUACGAGGGAAUAUUGCUUCGUAGAAAAGAAGAUUUUAUCGCGGUAUCUUUUUGGAUUUCAUCUUCUUUCACCCUCAGAAGGAUUUAACACAGUCGAAAAGAGAAAAUGAAGAUCGAUAAUAACGUUGAUAGUGUUCUUGGAUAUCGAAUUAAUAUUAAUUAUGAUAUCAAUUAGUUAAAAAAUCACAUAUACUAUAAUAAUAUUUAUUUCAAUGCCAUGGGUGAAAUUGGGAACGAUAAGGAAAAUCUUAAGGCGAUUAGCAAUGAUUCUAAAAAGGAAGAUCUGCGAAUCGAUCUUGAAGAAGAAGAGGAAGAAAAAGGAGAUGUAGGAGAUGAAGAAUACGAAGAUAGCCCUGCAAGGCGUAAUUAUUAAUGGAGUUAGAAUUAUUUUCGCUAGUACUUGAUGGUAAACUGAUUCGAUAUAUACGUAAAUACAUGUAUGUAUAUACACACAUACACACAUAUACAUAUAUGUAUAUGUAUAUAUAUAUAUAUCUUUCUCCGUACCGUGUACUUUCUAUGUACUAAAGUUUAAUAUUUAUAUACAUAUUUAUUUAUAUAUUGGUCUACAAAUUGAUAAAUUAUCUAUAUCUUUCUGAGAAUCACCACGGAUACAAAUAAAAGACAGAUGUAAGAUUAGAAAGGAAAUUAAAAGAAAAUGAAAAAUGAAAUUAAUAUUAAAGAAGAAAGGAAACAUUGGGAAAAGAAGCGAACGAAUGUGUAUUGGGAAAGUGGAUCAAUUGAUAUUGAUUUCAUAUUUUCAUAUAUUUGUCUGGGAUAGAUAAAUGGAAACUUGAUUUUUGAUAAAUAUUUGCUGCUUCUGAAUAUCAAAAUAAGAAUUCAAAAGAAAAAGAAAAACUAAAAGCUCGACGAAUUUUAGACCAACUUAUUUUUAAUCGACACGAUAAUGUGUCCAGAGCGACAAAACUCUAAGAAAAAAAAGAUGAUUAGCAUACAAACCGUAGUAGCUGAAAAUUGGCCGCAUAUUUGGAAUCGAUAUAUUUUUCAGGUUCUUGGAUAUAGUUUUCGAUGCGGUGUUACCGCACACACUGCUAGAAGCUGAUAUUCCUUAUAUACACGUCGAGAAGAGACGCACGAAUAAUUCAAGGAACCAUUAAAGAGGAAUAUUAAUGGUUACUACGAGCAUCUAUCCCUG